rnacentral:rRNA from 1 species
GACGAACGCUGGCGGCGUGCUUAACACAUGCAAGUCGAACGGUAAGGCCCUUCGGGGUACACGAGUGGCGAACGGGUGAGUAACACGUGGGUGAUCUGCCCUGCACUUCGGGAUAAGCCUGGGAAACUGGGUCUAAUACCGGAUAGGACCACUGCCUGCAUGGGUGGUGGUGGAAAGCUUUUGCGGUGUGGGAUGGGCCCGCGGCCUAUCAGCUUGUUGGUGGGGUGAUGGCCUACCAAGGCGACGACGGGUAGCCGGCCUGAGAGGGUGACCGGCCACACUGGGACUGAGAUACGGCCCAGACUCCUACGGGAGGCAGCAGUGGGGAAUAUUGCACAAUGGGCGCAAGCCUGAUGCAGCGACGCCGCGUGAGGGAUGACGGCCUUCGGGUUGUAAACCUCUUUCAGCACCGACGAAGCGCAAGUGAUGGUACCUGCAGAAGAAGCACCGGCUAACUACGUGCCAGCCGCCGCGGUAA